rnacentral:rRNA from 1 species
GGAGGGUUUGAUCCUGGCUCAGGAUGAACGCUGGCGGCGUGCUUGAUACAUGCAAGUCGAACGAACCGUUAGGGUGAAGAAGGUUUAGCGCACGUGGAAGAUGAGAAAUCGUAAAAAGCGUGCAACGGAUUGGAAGCAUUUGAUGCGGUGAGUGGCGAACGGGUGAGUAACACGUGGGUAAUUUGCCCUCAAGUGGGGAACAACUGUCCGAAAGGGCAGCUAAUUCCGCAUGUGAUCGAAAGAUGAAAGGCCUUCGGGUCGUAAAGUCCUUUUCUGAGGGAAGAGGAAGGACGGUACCUCAGGAAUAAGUCUCGGCUAACUACGUGCCAGCAGCCGCGGUAAAACGUAGGAGGCGAGCGUUAUCCGGAUUCACUGGGCGUAAAGGGCAAGUAGGCGGUCGUACAAGUUAGGUGUGACAUCUCCCGGCUUAACUGGGAGGGAGCGCUUAAAACUAUACGACUAGAGGGCGGAAGAGGGGGGUAGAACUCCUAAUGUAGCGGUGGAAUGCUCAGAUAUUAGGAAGAAUACCAGUGGCGAAGGCGGCCCCCUGGUCCGUGCCUGACGCUGAGAGGCGAAAGCUAGGGUAGCAAACGGGCUUAGAUACCCCGGUAGUCCUAGCUGUAAACGUUGGAUACUAGGUAAUGGGAGCUAACAUGCUUUCAGUGCCGAAGCAAACGCGUUAAGUAUCCCGCCUGGGGACUACGAUCGCAAGAUUAAAACUCAAAGGAAUUGACGGGAGCCCGCACAAGCAGCGGAGCGUGUGGUUUAAUUCGACGAUACACGAAGAACCUUACCUGGGUUUGACAUAUACGUAGUAGUGAACCGAAAGGGGAACGAGACUUCGGUCAGCGUAUACAGGUGCUGCAUGGCUGUCGUCAGCUCGUGCCGUGAGGUGUCAGGUUAAGUCCUGCAACGAGCGCAACCCUCGUUACCAGUUAUACUUUACUGGUGAGACUGCCGGCAUAUAACCGGAGGAAGGUGGGGAUGACGUCAAGUCAGCAUGGCCUUUAUAUCCAGGGCUACACACACGCUACAAUGGCCGGUACAGAGGGUCGCGAAGCCGCGAGGUGGAGCAAAUCUCACAAAGCCGGUCCCAGUUCAGAUUGCAGGCUGCAACCCGCCUGCAUGAAGUUGGAGUUGCUAGUAACCGCAGGUCAGCAAUACUGCGGUGAAUACGUUCCCGGGCUUUGUACACACCGCCCGUCACGUCAUGGAAGCUGGUAAUACCUGAAGUCGGUGAGCUAACCGCAAGGAGGCAACUGCCGAGGGUAGGACUAGUGACUGGGACGAAGUCGUAACAAGGUA